rnacentral:lncRNA from 12 species
GACUAAUUCACUAAACGUCAUGGCAAUUUUCCUGGACUGCAAAAAGGAGCGAGGACAUGGAAGCCUACAGAUCCAGGCUUUGCUUUCUAACCCCACCUGGGCAAUUCUCACCCUUCCCAACUCAGGUUUCACCCGCAGGAAAAGCCUGGCCGCAGGCUGCCACAGGCCAGCCACGCAUGACGUACAGAGCAGCCCUUGUCUCACCCAGUAGGAGUGAUGCAGGCAAAAAACAC